CCAGUAUUUUGAAAGUUAUUUCUCAACUCAAUAACUUACAACAUUUAUUUGUGAUCGAAUAGCUCAGUGGUAGAUUUAAAAGAUCUCUGCUGGUGACUCGGCUGGCUGGGCAUCGUAGGAAUCGCAAUUCAAAGUAGGUGGAGUGCCAAACAUUACCGAACGUUUAUAGUAUAUGGCGCUUAUCAAACUACCCUUACAAUGAGGAGCACACCGCAGGAGUUAUAACCCUUGAUUUUUCACUUCUUCGCAAAUCUAUCUGUUGUGUUUCCCAACUGAUGUUCUAUAUUAUGCCGUCAUAAAUCUAUCAUUAUUGAUGGCACCUUUCGAGCCUACUUGUGGCAUCUUCCCAACCAAGGAACGCUGUUGUAGUGUCAUAAAUCUCCACGGAACCACAUGCCGCGUCUGUGGCUUCCCCUAACAGAGUCGACAAAUAUUUAAUGAAAGUAACUUCACUUCAUAUACACUUUUGCUUCUUUAACGAACGAGCGGCUGUCACGG